rnacentral:rRNA from 1 species
GGGGGGCAAGCGUUGUUCGGAAUUACUGGGCGUAAAGCGCGCGUAGGCGGCUUUUCAAGUCGAUUGUGAAAUCCCCGGGCUUAACCUGGGAACUGCAGUCGAGACUGUCUAGCUAGAGUAUGGGAGAGGGAAGUGGAAUUUCAGGUGUAGCGGUGAAAUGCGUAGAUAUCAGGAAGAACACCCGUGGCGAAGGCGGUUCUCUGGGACGGUACUGACGCUGAGACGCGAAAGCGUGGGGAGCGAACAGG